UACAGGGGGUGCAAGCGUUGUUCGGAAUUAUUGGGCGUAAAGCGCGUGUAGGCGGAUCGUUAAGUCUGGUGUGAAAUCCCUCGGCUCAACUGAGGAAGUGCAUUGGAUACUGGCGACCUUGAGUCCUGGAGAGGGUAGCGGAAUUCCCAGUGUAGAGGUGAAAUUCGUAGAUAUUGGGAGGAACACCGGUGGCGAAGGCGGCUACCUGGACAGUGACUGACGCUGAGACGCGAAAGCAUGGGUAGCAAACAGG
rnacentral:rRNA from 1 species